rnacentral:tRNA from 1 species
CCUGUAGCUCAGUUGGAUAGAGCAACGGCCUUCUAAGCCGUGGGUCGCGGGUUCGAGUCCCUCCAGGC